AAACAGAACUCUAGAAAACGCAGAAGAGGAGAUCUGAGUGGGAGAAGAGACAUAUGAGAAGAGACAAACCCAUUUCGGCUGGAACUGGAGCAUUUCGGCUGGAGCGUUUCCUAUGGACCAUUUUGAAUGGAAAAUCUGAGCUGGCUCUCUAGCUUCUGGAGGACUUGGAAAAGUGCUUUGUUGUGCAGUUUUACCAGUGCUGUAAUUUCCUCAUCGCAUUCACCAGCGUUUAUUGCCCUAGCCGCUGGUCUGCAACCCAAUGGCCCCAAGUAUAAAAAUGCAAAUUUUCUUCCUCCUUCCUUGUGCAUUCCCUGAGACAUCAUAUCAUCAAAGUAUGUUUGUGGCCGAGUUAAAAAUCGAGAAGAGAGAGAGAGAGAGAGAGAGAGAGAGAGAGAGAGAGAAUAAUAUAAAACAAUUUUUGUUUCAAAUAGUCGGUACGAAUGCAAGUGUUGUUACUUUGAUCACA